UACGUAGGGGCCGAGCGUUGUCCGGAGUUACUGGGCGUAAAGCGCGCGCAGGCGGCCAUCUAAGCCCAGCGUGAAAGCCCCCGGCUCAACCGGGGAGGGUCGUUGGGGACUGGAUGGCUUGAGGACGGCAGGGGCCGGUGGAAUCCCCGGUGUAGUGGUGAAAUGCGUAGAGAUCGGGGGGAACACCGGUGGCGAAGGCGGUUCUCUGGGCAUGAUCUGACGCUGAGGAGCGAAAGUGUGGGGAGCGAACAGG
rnacentral:rRNA from 1 species